rnacentral:rRNA from 1 species
AUUGAACGCUGGCGGCAUGCCUUACACAUGCAAGUCGAACGGUAACGCGGGGCAACCUGGCGACGAGUGGCGAACGGGUGAGUAAUGCAUCGGAACGUGCCCAGUAGUGGGGGAUAGCCCGGCGAAAGCCGGAUUAAUACCGCAUACGACCUACGGGUGAAAGCGGGGGAUCGCAAGACCUCGCGCUAUUGGAGCGGCCGAUGUCAGAUUAGGUUGUUGGUGGGGUAAAGGCCUACCAAGCCUACGAUCUGUAGCCGGUCUGAGAGGACGACCAGCCACACUGGGACUGAGACACGGCCCAGACUCCUACGGGAGGCAGCAGUGGGGAAUUUUGGACAAUGGGGGCAACCCUGAUCCAGCCAUGCCGCGUGCGGGAAGAAGGCCUUCGGGUUGUAAACCGCUUUUGUCAGGGAAGAAAUUGUCCGGGCUAAUACCUCGGGCCGAUGACGGUACCUGAAGAAUAAGCACCGGCUAACUACGUGCCAGCCGCCGCAGUAAUAC